CGAUGUCGUCUGGUGUGUGUGAUUUUAGUGAAGAUUGUGAAGAAACGGCGAUAUAUUAUUUGAAAGACUGUGUUAAACAAACCUUUCACCACCUCUGAUAUUUGAACGCUAACUCUAAGGGUAUAGAUCUGCUCGAAAGUUAUUCAAUUCUAUCCAGAGCGGGUGUCAAUGUCAUCACGCUAGCACAGCUAAACAAGAAAAUUUGCCAAAGACACAGAGACGCGCUUGGUCUGUACUGGAAACGGAGCAAGAGAUCUCAUGUACAUCCCUUUCAUGGUUCAUCUAAAACGAAACCAGACAGAGGCAUCACACCAGUUUUGAGUCGGGAACUUUUGUUGCGUCUACAGCUGCCUGUCCCGAUAGGUGAAGCUGUAUGCAGAACAUGUGUAUCUAAACACAAGGGAGAUCUCAGUCUUGGUGAACAAGUUGUGGAAGAAAUAAAAGACAGAGUUGAGCAGCUGACCAAUUCAACCAGUGCCUCAUUACCUCCACCUAAUCUUAGAGACUGCACUGAA